CAUCUGGAGGAGAGAGCUAAAUGCUGCAUCAGUUCCCAGCAUCGAUUGCCUUCGCUUAUCAGUAGUUUAUCUCUAAAAAAAAAUAACCUGACAGGUUUUCUGAUGUGCGAUCCUCAGUUCCGCUCGGGAUUUUAAGGUCUCUUAUCAACAACGGAAGAAGUGUUGCGCCCACAUGGGCAGCGUUCUGGCCUUGUCUUCCGGUCCGGGCCAUCAGAACUGGCCUUUCUCCACGAACCCCGCUCCUUCUCGGUGGAACACACAUCCUGCUCACUGGGACAGCCCGCCACGCUGGGAGAGGAGAGAUGGCCGCCUACCCAACCCAGGCAGCUUUCACUCUCUCCACAGGAGCUGCAAAGAUGUUUUUCCUCAACAGAUUGAGGGAGUCAAGAUGAUCCUCAAUAAAACUCUGAGCAGCUUCUUCAAGGUCAGUCAUGCUCUCCACCUUAGUGCUGUCAGUCCUUCGUACUAUCGAUUCCACGUUGAGCAUCUGCAGUCUGAUGAUUACAGCAAGGACAAGGAUGCCCCGGCAUUGAUCGGUGAGAUGGACUCUUCGGGAAGUCUGAAUGCUCACGCUCUGCUGCAUCUCACUGAGCGCGUACGAGCCAGAACAGUGUUCCAGACCCAGCAGUCCCAGUUUGUAACAUGGCAGUUUGAAACUGAGUACAGAGGGAGCGACUUCACUGCAGCCGUGACAGUAGCCAACCCAGACGUCCUUAGAGAGUCAGUUAUCCUCGUAGCACACUUCCUGCAGAGUGUGUCUUCUGGGCUUGUGUUAGGAGGGGAGCUGGUCUACCAUCGGGGCCGAGCUGAGGAAGGUGGAAUUCUAACUUUGGCUGGACAGUACUCAAGACCAAACUGGGUGGCGACGUUGAAUGCUGGGAAAGGAGGUGCCCAUGCUAGUUACUAUCACAGAGCCAACAAACAGAUCCAAGUUGGAGUGGAGUUUGAAGCCAGCACCAGGACCCAGGAGACCACAACCUCAUUUGGGUACCAGAUGGAACUCCCAGAGGCCAACAUGGUCUUUCGAGGUAUGAUUAACAGUCGGUGCAUAAUAGGAGGCGUGUUGGAGAAGCGUCUGACCCCGCUCCCUGCAACCCUGAUCAUGGGUGCCUUUGUAAAUCACAGAGGUGACAAGCUGCAAGUGGGCCUAGGCGUCAACGUGGGAUAAUCCUUCACUAAUCCCUGCUGGAAUUACAUCUCCCAUCAGGACAUCCUUCCAGAGAGCUGUUUCAGAGGCUUCAUGAUGACCUGAUCUUCCAAGGUUUAUCAGCCUCACUCAAACGCUUCCUACGAACCACUUAAGUAUUGUGGAUUGUUUCGGAGGUUGAAUCCCAAAAUGUUUCCUUAAACUGAUUGCAUCUCAUCUUGAAACCUACCUCUCAAAACUGAGGUGAUGUUUUCUGAUUGGGUUACAUUAGGAUUGAACAGGAAAAAUGAAUGAGGGGCUCAGCAACUGUGAGUGGAGAAAUGUUACUGUCCCCCAGAAACCAGACUGCUCAUCACCUGCUGGACAAUGGAAACAGAAUGGAUAAGAUGCAAACUGUACUGAAAAUAAAAAAAGUUUUUACCAUAAGGAAACUUAAUGUAUAUUCAGUAGUAUAUGGAAAGAUACUAAUGUUUGUUAUCUAUAACUAUAAUUCUUGUUUACCUGACCGUUCUGCCGACCAUUUUCUAAAGCACACCAUUAUUUGUAAAACUAAUACAUGAUUUUUCCCAUCUUCCAGGCAGCCGUUUGUAUGGAAGCUCUGAGCAACAUGUAAAAGUGUGUGAGAUUCCACACAUGAACAGCCUGUUGACUCUAAGGGAAAAGAUGCUGCUCCACAUAUACUAACCUCCAGCUGAGGGACAUGAGAGCGGCUAUGCACUGACACUACUGAGCCAGGCUUGUACUGUAUGUAUGUAUGUAUGUAGAUGGAAACACUGACCUGUAUGCAACCUGCACUACUCAUGCUGCUUCUGGGCAUUUCCAGUCCUGUUUAACGUAAGAAAUGUUGCAUAAUUAUGAAUUUAUUUAUACAUUAAUGUAAUAUAAACAUAGAGAGAAGUGGAAGGGAGUCACCGUCUUUUUGGACUUAAUUUAUUAAAAAUGUUAUUUCUAUCAUAGUUACUGUUUUAUUUUUUCUUCCACAUUAAUAUUCAUGAUACUACAUAGCAGGUCUGUAGAUAUGACAGUGUUCAUUGUGAUUUAAAGCACCACUAAUCAAUAUUUCUAUUAACUAUGAAUCACAUGACUAUACAUGUAAUAUGAAAGGACUCACCUGUUGUGACAAACCAAUAGAAAAUUACCACCUAGCUAAGCUUACCCCCAGCACCAAGGUGUUUUUAGCCUCCUUUAGCUCAUUGUUUUGGUUCUACAUACAUAGUUUAGCAUCUAGCAAGCUAAACACAUAUUUUUCUCAGGGAUUAUAAGGGACCAAAACAAAGCUAAAGGGAGAGUGACUGUUGGACAUUUAUCAGGUGGCCAGAUUCUAAAUUAAUGUCAGUGUUGCUCCAUGGCUGCGGGAUGUUUUAAUAGUUGUUGAUAACAUAAACAGCUUUAUAAGAAUAUAAGAUGUCUGUUUCGUGUUCAAUUCAGCUUGUCCUGCCUCAAGGUGUGUUCAGACAGAAGCUAAGUCAGCCUUUGGACUGUUGUGGGUUGUUUUUUUUGGCACAAACAACCAACAGAUGUUAGCUGUAAGCUAGCUAGCAAUGGACCAUGUCAGACUGUGUCUGUGGGAGUGUGCCAGUGUGUUUCUGUCAUUUUCCUGCAGUCUCUCUCCUUUUGUGACCAAAAUAAAUAAAUGCAGC